rnacentral:rRNA from 1 species
UAUUGCACAAUGGGCGAAAACCUGAUGCAGCAACGCCGCGUGAGUGAUGAAGGCCUUCGGGUUGUAAAGCUCUGUCUUCUGGGACGAUAAUGACGGUACCAGAGGAGGAAGCCACGGCUAACUACGUGCCAGCAGCCGCGGUAAUACGUAGGUGGCAAGCGUUGUCCGGAUUUACUGGGCGUAAAGGAUGCGUAGGCGGAUACUUAAGUCAGAUGUGAAAAUCCCGGGCUUAACUUGGGAACUGCAUUUGAAACUGGGUAGCUAGAGUGCGGGAUAGGAAAGUGGAAUUCCUAGUGUGGCGGUGAAAUGCGUAGAGAUUAGGAAUAACACCAGUGGCGAAGGCGACUUUCUGGACCGUAACUGACGCUGAGGCGCGAAAGCGUGGGGAGCAAACA